UUUUCUUCUUUAAAUGCAGAUGUAAGCCUCGAUCUGCAGAUCAAGGCAGGGUUCAAGACCAUACUCAGAUAUUCCGUCGAUUAUGCAUGUCGAGAAGCAGAGAGAACCCCGAGCAAAUUACCUCAUUUGGUUCCCAAUCACUCAGAUACCACUACUUUUAUCUUGACAUUGAUAGGUGAAGUGAAUUGACUUGGGUCCAUAGUGAGCUCCUUGUAGGAGUUGCGCUAAGGGAGAAAAUCAGCUAUAUAGACCAAGAAAAGAUAUGUUAGUGAGAUCUGCAGAGCAAGAUGAUAUAGAAGUUCAAAAGCAUCAAAUGGCAGAACAUUGUGAGAAGAACUGUGAGAAGCAAUGUGACUACGAAAUCAAGUAUGCUGAUCUUAGCUCUUCCCUUGGUGUUCUCAUCAACGAUGAGUUUGAUAUCAAUCUCCAGAACGGAUCAGUUGCCGACUUGUAUAUAUUGUUUUCAGGUGUGGAUAUGAUCAGCAAGGUCUACUGUUGAACACGCUGGUAAAAACAGACGGGAUAAUUGGUCUAAGCAGAGCUACAAUUAGCUUGCCUUCUCAACUUGCAAGCCGAGGUAUCAUCAGCAAUGUGGUUGGCCACUGCUUUCCCUCUGAUUUGAACGUCAAGGCUAUAUCAUCAUUGGAAGUGAUUUGAUUCCCUCACACGAAAUCACAUGGGUUCCUAUACUUCACCAUUCUCAAUUGGAAGUUUAUCAGAUGCAAGUUUCAAAAGACAUCUAUGAAAUUGAAGAAGAGCUGAAGCAAUUGAAAGAGUGUGUUUGAAGAUAAGUCCCUAACUGUUUGUAUGUUUGGUUGUCUUAAAAAUGAGUUACUAUUUGUAACUAAAAUAUAAUUUGUAAAUAUAUUAAUGUUUACAAUUGCUGUGUAGGUUCUGCAGUGGGCUCUUUAGAGGAUAAAGCUUUUUUACUUCAGUGAAGACAUGAGAGACAGACACAACCCUUCUCAAUAUGUCAUCAAAUGCAAGUUUCAAAAGACUUCUAUGUAUGCGAAGAAGAGCUGAAGCAAUUGAAAGAGUGUGUUUGAAGAUAAGUUCCUAACUGUUUGUAUGUUUGGUUGUCUUAAAAAUGAGUUACUCUUUGUAACUAAAAUAUAAUUUGUAAAUAUAUUAAUGUUUACAAUUGCUGUGUAGGUUCUGCAGUGGGGUCUUUAGAGGAUAAAACUUUUUUACUUUAGUGAAGACAUGGGAGACAGACACAACCCUUCUCAAUAUGUAAUCAAGAUUGAUGCUAAAGGGGUGAAGGGCAUAUCAGUGAUAGCUGUAAAGCUCCUAGAAUAAAGAAAACAGGGCUUGAGCUGAACAAAAGAGAAAAGGUGUUAUCUUUUCAAUGCCUGAAACUCAUGCCUCAACAUUCUCUAUACAAAGCAAAAGGUCGAUGAUAAUCAUGUUAAGGAUUUUCGAGUUAAGCUUGAUCUUCAAUUAUCAGAUUUUUAAGGAUCCUAAGGUAUGUCAAAAUCACACUAUAUUAUGUAUAUAGUUAGAAACUGCUAGGACUGAAAGGCGAAAUAGUUUGUUUCAGGGAGAUUAAAAAUAGAUUAGUGACAGGUUAAAUUUAUUGAUUUCCUAUUAUGUAUAUAGUUAGAAACUGGUAGGAUAUGUAAAUCACAGAAUUUAUAUAGAUUAACGUGAUAUUAUAAUAUGAAAAGCACAAACCAAGAUAAAAAAUAGAAAACACCAAAAUUUAUUAGAAGCAUAAAUAGGAAAACAAAGUACCAGAAUAUGAAAAAAUCAAAGCAAAAACCAAGAUAAAAAUAGAUAAAACCAAAAACAAAUGAAAAACAUUCUUCAGCAUUGCUACUCUUCCUUCUCCUUUUCGAUUUUGAUGGAGCUGCAAAUCUUUUUCGAAGUAGAAGUUACAUCUGGGGUAUUAUCAUCUUGCUCCUUACGUUUUGCAGCAGGAGUUUUGCAGUCUUCUGAAUCAUUCUGGUUGUUUCCUUCCAGCAUGAACACCUAAUACACAAAAAUUAUAAAAUCACGGCUCUAUAAUAUACAAAAUAAAAUAUAUAUUACAUUGUAUGUAUAAUGUAAAUAACAAACUCACAACUUCAGAAGACAUGGCAGAAGAAGAUGUGCCAAUCAUUGAGGAUGGCUCGGAAGCUGAUUCAACUUUCAGAACGUGAUCUCCAGACCAGACCUCAAGAACUUUAAAUGUGUCUGCCCCAUCCCUCACAUUGUCAGAGGAAACAGCAAUGCCAAAACAAUAAGAUUUUCCUUCUAAAGCUUUAAUAGGUUCUGGUAGGAGCUCAGGAUCUUCAAUCUGUGUUAAAGUGUUCAUUAGGGUCUGUGCAUAUUAAAUGUAAAACUUAAGAGCAGAAACCAAAAGUACCUCAUCAUAUGAGCCAUCCCACAGAUCAACAGCUUCAUGUCCAACAAUGGUCUGAGCAACUGUGUUCAGCAAAAUCAACUUACAUGUUUCUGUGUCAUCCUUCACAAUCAAAUGAAGCUUGAACCUAUUCAAUUUCACGCAUUAAAUAUUAAGUGGUGUAAAAUAAAAGUGAAAAAUUGAACAAAUAAUUAGAGACUCGAAAAUGUGAGCUUACACAGGUAUCACUUCAGUGAUCUUAAUUUUGCAGUGCUCACAAAACCAAAGUUGCUUGUCAUCAAGGUUCGACCUUGAAUGAACACUCUGUUUAAGUUUUAUUGCACGAUGUUUGCAACCUUUAUGCCCAAAGUAGAACCAUGCCCAAUCAGUGUCAACAGCUUCAACUGAGCAAAUGAUCUUGCAGUUGUCAAUCUGAGAAAAUAUGUGAAUAUUUAAAAUUAG